rnacentral:rRNA from 1 species
CCUGCUCAGAACGAACGCUGGCGGCGUGUUUAAGACAUGCAAGUCGCACGGAAUGAAACCGGUAUUUAUAUUGGAUGAUUUUAGUGGCGCACGGGUGAGUAACACGUGAAUUACAUGCCCUGUAGAGGGGGAUAGCCCGCCGAAAGGCGGAUUAAUACCCCAUGGUCCCGCAAGGGUAAAGGUGGCUUCGGCUGCCGCUACAGGAUUGGUUCGCGCCCUAUCAGCUUGUUGGCGAGGUAACGGCUCACCAAGGCAAUGACGGGUAACUGGUCUGAGAGGACGAUCAGUCACACUGGAACUGAGACACGGUCCAGACACCUACGGGUGGCAGCAGUCGAGAAUAAUUCACAAUGGGGGCAACCCUGAUGGUGCAACGCCGCGUGGAGGAUGACGGUCUUAGGAUUGUAAACUCCUGUCAUCUGGGAGAAAGACCUGGGAGUUAAUAGCUCACAGGGUUGAUAGUACCAGAAGAGGAAGGGACGGCUAACUUCGUGCCAGCAGCCGCGGUAAUACGAAGGUCCCGAGCGUUGUUCGGAAUCACUGGGCGUAAAGGGAGCGUAGGCGGCGCGGUAAGUCGGAUGUGAAAUCCCGGGGCUCAACCCCGGAACUGCAUCUGAUACUGCCGUGCUAGAGUAAUGGAGGGGUAGCUGGAAUUCUCGGUGUAGCAGUGAAAUGCGUAGAUAUCGAGAGGAACACUCGUGGCGAAAGCGAGCUACUGGACAUUUACUGACGCUGAGGCUCGAAGGCUAGGGGAGCGAAAGGGAUUAGAUACCCCUGUAGUCCUAGCAGUAAA